AGCAUUACAGUAUCUGCUCAGCAUCUCUACCCUGAACCUUAGAAGGGAUAUUGUAAUAAAGUUGCAACACACUCAAACUGUGCACCAUUCAGUUCUAUUCACCAGCAAACAAUCCAAAGUAUUCACAGACAAGAUCGUACACAUCUGCCCCCGUGUCACUACCAACAGAUCCACCAUUCCAGAAAAAGUAAACAAAUACCAGUCAAAAAUGUGCUCUGGAAGCAGCAUGGUCAGCAAGAACUUCAUCUCCUAUCAUCAAUAAAAAUGGCAUAAGCAAGACAGUCUUUCCAAGUGAAAGUGGCCCCAUACUACCAGCAGUUAAAAGGAAUCCCACAACUAAUCAGAAAGUUAGCUGCAGCCUGUAGAAUGAACUUCAGGUUUUCCAGAAAUGCUCUCCCCACAGUUAAUGGCAGCCUCAUCAAGAAGCAUC
rnacentral:misc_RNA from 1 species